rnacentral:tRNA from 1 species
AGUGUUCAAGUCCCUCUAUCCCCA